rnacentral:rRNA from 1 species
UACGUAGGGUCCAAGCGUUAUCCGGAAUCACUGGGCGUAAAGCGUGCGUAGGUGGGAAUUUAAGUGUGAUGUUAAAUCGUGUGGCUCAACCAUAUCGAUGCAUCGCAUACUGGGUUCCUAGAGGACGGCAGAGGCAAGUGGAUUUAGCAGUGUAGCAGUGAAAUGCGUAGAUAUUGCUAGGAACACCAAUGGCGAAGGCAGCUUGCUGGGCCACUCCUGACACUGAGGUACGAAAGCGUGGGGAGCGAACAGG